UACGUAGGGCGCAAGCGUUGUCCGGAAUUAUUGGGCGUAAAGAGCUCGUAGGCGGCUUGUUGCGUCGGAUGUGAAAGCCCGGGGCUUAACCCCGGGUCUGCAUUCGAUACGGGCGGGCUAGAGUUCGGUAGGGGAGAUCGGAAUUCCUGGUGUAGCGGUGAAAUGCGCAGAUAUCAGGAGGAACACCGGUGGCGAAGGCGGAUCUCUGGGCCGAUACUGACGCUGAGGAGCGAAAGCGUGGGGAGCGAACAGG
rnacentral:rRNA from 1 species